rnacentral:rRNA from 1 species
CUGUACAGUUCAGAGUUUGAUCCUGGCUCAGGAUGAACGCUGGCGGCGUGCCUAAUACAUGCAAGUCGAACGAAGCACUUCGGUGCUUAGUGGCGAACGGGUGAGUAACACGUAGGUAAUCUGCCCUACAGACGAGGAUAACGGUUGGAAACGACCGCUAAUACUGGAUAGUAAGUGAUCUCGCAUGAGGACACUUUUAAAGUUCCGUAUGGAACACUGUAGGAUGAGCCUGCGGCGCAUUAGCUAGUUGGUGAGGUAAUGGCCCACCAAGGCAAUGAUGCGUAGCCGGACUGAGAGGUUGAACGGCCACAUUGGGACUGAGACACGGCCCAG